UUCUCGAAAUUCAAAAGGAAGAACCAAAUUUCCACUAAUAUACUUGCAGUUAAUAAAACAGUAGAGAUCUUAUGGGGAAUUUUAUUAUCUGCAAAUAUAUUAGUGGAAAUUUGGUUUUUUCCGUUGAAUUUCAAGAA
rnacentral:pre_miRNA from 1 species